rnacentral:rRNA from 1 species
CCUACGGGAGGCAGCAGUAGGGAAUCUUCCGCAAUGGACGAAAGUCUGACGGAGCAACGCCGCGUGAACGAUGAAGGCCUUCGGGUCGUAAAGUUCUGUUGUUAGGGAAGAACAAGUGCUAGUUGAAUAAGCUGGCACCUUGACGGUACCUAACCAGAAAGCCACGGCUAACUACGUGCCAGCAGCCGCGGUAAUACGUAGGUGGCAAGCGUUGUCCGGAAUUAUUGGGCGUAAAGCGCGCGCAGGCGGUUUCUUAAGUCUGAUGUGAAAGCCCCCGGCUCAACCGGGGAGGGUCAUUGGAAACUGGGAAACUUGAGUGCAGAAGAGGAAAGUGGAAUUCCAAGUGUAGCGGUGAAAUGCGUAGAGAUUUGGAGGAACACCAGUGGCGAAGGCGACUUUCUGGUCUGUAACUGACGCUGAGGCGCGAAAGCGUGGGGAGCAAACAGGAUUAGAUACCCUGGUAGUCCACGCUGUAAACGAUGAGUGCUAAGUGUUAGAGGGUUUCCGCCCUUUAGUGCUGAAGUUAACGCAUUAAGCACUCCGCCUGGGGAUACGGUCGCAAGACUGAAACUCAAAGGAUUGACGGNUGAGNGNGCGAGNGACACGAGGAGAG